AGCAGCCGCGGUAAUUCCAGCUCCAAUAGCGUAUAUUAAAGUUGCUGCAGUUAAAAAGCUCGUAGUUGAAUUUCGGGACUAAUAUGUCGGUCGUGCCUCAGUACGUACUGGUUUAUUGGUUUCUCCUUUCUGAAGAACCAUGAUGUCAUUUAUUUGGUGUCGUGGGGAAUCAGGACUGUUACUUUGAAAAAUUAGAGUGUUUAAAGCAGGCUCACGCUUGAAUACAUUAGCAUGGAAUAAUGAAAUAGGACGUUUGAUUCUAUUUUGUUGGUUUCUAGGAUUGACGUAAUGAUUAAUAGGGAUAGUUGGGGGCAUUAGUAUUCAAUUGUCAGAGGUGAAAUUCUUGGAUUUAUUGAAGACUAACUACUGCGAAAGCAUUUGCCAAGGAUGUUUUCAUUAAUCAAGAACGAAAGUUAGGGGAUCGAAGACGAUCAGAUACCGUCGUAGUCUUAACCAUAAACUAUGCCGACUAGGGAUCGGAUGAUGUUAAUUUUUAAUGACUCAUUCGCGCCUUACGGGA
rnacentral:rRNA from 1 species